UACAGGGGGUGCAAACGUUGCUCGGAAUCAUUGGGCGUAAAGCGCACGUAGGCGGUUCGUUAUGUCGGAUGUGAAAGCCCUUGGCUUAACCGAGGAAGUGCAUCCGAAACUGGCGAGCUAGAGUACUAAAGAGGAUCGCGGAACUCCCGGUGUAGAGGUGAAAUUCGUAGAUAUCGGGAGGAACACCAGUGGCGAAGGCGGUUGCCUGGAGCUUUGCUGACGCUGAGGCGCGAAAGCGUGGGGAGCGAUCCGG
rnacentral:rRNA from 1 species